CACUGUCGGCCAUUUCGUCGUUGCUACUGCGCUGGGGGAGGUUUUUGGAUCUCUAGGGUAAUCCCCUUUCAGAGGUCAGCCAUGUGCAUCCAUGGUUGCUUUACAGUGUUGUGCCUGAAGCCUCUGGGAGCGACCUGGAUGUCUCCCUCUGCAGGUUGAUACCUCGGGAGCAGGAUGCGCUGCCUCAGGUAAACGCCCCCCUCUUCCCCAAAGAGCUGCUCCGGGGUGGGUGGAAGGGGCUAGGCCCCAAGUGGAGGGCGGUUUCGGCGGGCGCGGAGCGGUCCGAAGGGAUGACGCUGCGAGCUGGACGACACAAGUCUCAUGGCAGGUCUGAGUUACCAAAGCCCUGAUCGGACCGCGGCGGCCCAGCCCGGCGCCUGUGUGCUUCCGCCGCCCUCGCUGACCACCUCCUU